rnacentral:rRNA from 1 species
AAUGGGCGAAAGCCUGACGCAGCGACGCCGCGUGGGUGAUGAAGGCCUUCGGGUUGUAAAGCCCUGUGGGGAGAGACGAAUAAGGCCGGGCGAAUAUCCCGGUUGAUGACGGUAUCUCUUUAGCAAGCACCGGCUAACUCUGUGCCAGCAGCCGCGGUAAGACAGAGGGUGCAAACGUUGUUCGGAAUUACUGGGCGUAAAGCGCAUGUAGGCGGCCAGGCAGGUCGGGUGUGAGAUCCCUCGGCUCAACCAAGGAAGUGCACUCGAAACCGCAUGGCUAGAGUCCCGGAGAGGAAGGCGGAAUUGUCGGUGUAGAGGUGAAAUUCGUAGAUAUCGACAGGAACACCUGUGGCGAAAGCGGCCUUCUGGACGAGGACUGACGCUGAGAUGCGAAAGCGUGGGGAGCAAA